UUUAUUUACUGGGAGUGAUUUUUAAAGAUCACACUGACUGCCUUAACAUUGCUUCUUCUGAGUAAUGCACUCAUGGAGAAUCACUGUUUUUACUUAUCAUUGUAUUUCACAGACUGGAAAUACACACUUCUGGUAUCUGAGUGGAUGUGGGACAUAGAGUGUUGCUUGAGUAUUUAUUUACUUUGCAUGUAUUGUGUUGGUAAGUUAUUUUGCUCAGUAUGUAGGAUUUAACCAGUGGCAGAUUAAAACUGACAUAUAGGCCAGUAGAUCCUAUGUAGAUGUAAUAUCACAGCAAUUGUUUUAAGUCAUUACUUGGUCCUUUUUUUUUUUUUUUUUUUUUUUUUUUUUUUAUUAUUCUUUUGAUAAAAUUAUCUGGUUAAAAUUUUCGAAUCUUGAGUUAUUCCUCUGGUGGAAUGAUCGAUGGUGGAGUCAUCCCUCUGUGAACCAAACCUGUUUAUUAGAAAGUUCAUUGCCCCAUUUCUCUGAGUAGAAGUGAAAUCAAACAGCCCAAGCCAGUUUCUCACCUCCUAGAACACAGAUACUUUCCAGACAGCACAUUUGCUGUCUCUCCACAGAUGCAGGGAGAUGCAUCCACUUGGCAUGACUGUCCUGUUCCCAGAUGAGACAAGGACUAGGUUUUCAGGCAACAUGAAGAAGGCAAACAUCCAUGCGCCUCUCCUGGCCUGUCUUCAGCCAGAGCGCUCAGCUUUUUAGGGAAGAUAUGGAAGAAUAAAGAAGUACUGUUGUUACAGGAUGCACUCCAGCUGGAAUAAUGUAAGUUUUUAGGCAUGCAAGCUCUUCCUUAGCAACUUGUUCAUCCUAUAAACCUUACAGUCCAUUGUGGCUUCAACCACAUCCAUUUUACACAUAGUCUUAUGGCCAGAACAAUACUUAGUGAAAAGAAUUAAAAUUACUGCUGGCUCUGGCUUUGUUUUGGCUGAAAAUAUGUCUGUGUUUUGAAUUUUUUAGACUGAAGUUACUGAACUCCCUUGUAGAUGUAGUUAAAAAUGUGAUGGAUGGUUACCUUUAAUGUAGAAUAGGGGUUACUUGUAGGAAUUUAAGCUUGAAUUCAUCACUUUUUGUUCAGAGCUGAAACUCCUGGAUCUCAUUAGACGAAUCUCUGACUCUCACUGAAAUAGCCAUUGCUUCAUAAUUUGCUGAAUUUAGCUAUACUCUGUUGUUUUUGUAAUAUAUCACUCUUAACCAGUGUGCAUUUCUGUUUGGUCUUGAAGCAAAUUGCUUUCCUGCAUAGAAGGCAUUGCUAAAACUUGCCAGAAAGACAAGGUGUUUCUCUCAUUUAAACCCAGUUCUUGAGUUUUUAGAGGCAAGCUGUGAGAGGAGUUGCAUGGGGCCCUUCUUUGCACAGAUACCUCCUGCACACUUCCCGUUACUUUUUCUUUAAUUCCACUGAAACUUCUUUUUCACUGCAGUCCUAGAGUUGUCAGUCAUGUAAGUAGCCCAUGUGACUUCAAAGCAACAUUUUGAAAAGGAAAAGUUAUCUGAAUGGUGAAGUGAUGUAAAUUAGUCUUGUGAAGAGUGAUGCUGUUUUUUGUCCCUUUCUGUGAAUUCUGAAGUGCAUAUGCUUUAGCACUGAGAAAUUAUUUUAUGUGAUACAUGCUAAGAUUGUCAUCUGUACUAUGUCACAUACAGUGUGUGUUUACUUAGGUGUUUUAUCCUUCCUUUUGCUCCAGAAAAUAUGUACCUAUAUUUCUACAGCUCUGCGAGCUGACAUUUCUUUCUGAACAGCUAUGCGAAGAAUUUGUUUAAAUUUUCCAUCUUUUUUUACCUCAUCCCUUAAAAAAUGAUCCUCCACAAUCCCUAUUCUGUUCUUCAAUGACAGUUUAUUCUUAGGAUUGUUUAAAAAUUUUUUGUGCUAAUUUCAUAAUCUUCUGUGAAAUCUUUCACCGUUUUGCUCUCCUUAUCUGUUUUUCAGUCUUCUGCUUUAUUAAUUUUUUGUUUCCUUUCAUUGUUUAGGAGUCCUUUUUGAUUGUUUUUUCUGUAAUUUCCUUUUGCAUCACUGUUAACCAUUUACUAUUCUUGAACGUUUGGAAUUAGUUAUAAGGUAGUCCUCAGUGCACUUUUUACGUCACUUUACUUUCUAUUUUUAUUACAUUGCUAUGCUACAGCUUAGCUCCCACUGUAAACACUUAGAUGUAUCAAGGUGAUAAUCAAAGUCUACUUUUUUUUUUUCUAUCUCUUUCCAAUUCUAAGUAGAGAUUUUACAAUGAUAAAUAAAAAUUCUUUAAAAGCUUUGCUUUAUAUAUACGUAUGUAUAUAUAAAUUAGAUAGAGAGAUGUAUGUCUGUCCUUGUAGAAAAGUAAAGAAAAUGAAUUCCUAAGUCUGAGGGUCAGUUUCUUCUCCUUAUUAAAUCUCUACUAGAAUGCCACACUUGGGUAUUUUAAUGACUAUACAAAGAUUUUUCCACACUAUGUUUAUUUAUUCUCAUAAUCACUGAUCAGUGACGGUAAUCUCAAACCCUGAGCCUUUUUUCAUUUCAUUUUCUCCCCCUCUUCCUUUGAGUAGGAGUAACAGGAGAAUGAUGUAGUAGUUUAGCUGCACAUCAGGGUGAAAUCACCACAACUGGUAGUAGAGAUACUUCAAAUGCGGUCACAGACCCUCUUUUAAGAAGACAUCAACACUGAUAAAGGGUACAACUCCUGCUGUGAUGCAAGAAUGAAGAACAAACCUGCAAAUGAAAGAAAGCAGAAGAGACAUCAUAAAAUAAAAAUAUUUGAAAGUGGAGACUUGCACUAAAACAGCACAUAUGGUAAAAAAUUGUUCAGUUCUGAAAAUACGGGAGAAAGAAUACUGCAAAUCUAUUUUACAGGAACAGAUUAAAUAAAACAAUUGUAGUUAUUUUUGAUUUUCUGAUGGAAAAUGAUAAAAGAGAAUUUUUUUAGCAGGCUAAUUAUUAUUAUUAUUAUUUUUAAUCUGCUAAGCUUUGUUUUUAUAGGAACUGCAAUGCUUUUGUCAAACAAAAUCUUUCAGUGUGUUGUGACUAUCUGAGUGCUAUCAUUUUUACUUUCUUGUCUCUCCAUCUUUUUUUUUAUUCUAUGUAGGCUUAAAAUAGAAAUGGAAAGCAAGCAUAAACUAAUACUUCAAAAUGUUUCUUUUUUACAAACACUUAUUAUCUAUGGAAGACUUUUUAAAACAAUGAACACACUAUAUUCCAUUAGCAGUGUUUUACUUUAGUUGAACCGUCUGACUUGCUAUCACUUAUUACAUAAACAGCUUAACAGGUUAAAAAGGAAAAGAGAGAAAAACAGGCAACAUCUUAUCAAGAAGACAGCUGGUUGUCUCUGCCAUCAGAAUAAUGGACUAAUUUUUCAGUUCACUGAAAUAAUAUAGAAAGUACAAUACAGAUAACCAAAUGCCAGGUACACAGUGAGCUAUGUUGCACUACCGAUCAUUUUAUCACUUCUGGAAGUCAUAGUCUUACAUGGCUGAGGAGGAAAAGCUUUGUCUUUCAUGUAUGAAAAUAUUUUACCAGCAAAGUAAGUCCCACCAUCCUUUGCUGGGCAUACUCCCUGCUGUUCACAGGAAACAUUCACGCAUCUUUCAGUAGCUUACAGUGGUGUUUCAAAAGCUGUUCUGAGAAAGCAUUGUGUUGAUUCCCAGCUCAACAGAGGUGAUUCCAUAGCUUCUCAAGUCUUGUGGUGGUUCAACAACUUCUCCAGUCUCCCUGUGUUUCUAAGAGCACAGCUUUGUGGAGAAGCAGAUCUUCUGAACCACUAAUGCUGGUAUGAAGAAGCUCUACUAACUGUGGGUAAAGGAGAUUAGCUCAUUGCCACACAUCUGUAAAUGGUUUGCAGAUCACUUCCAAUUAUAAUUCUUGUGUUUCUUGGUUAGGAAAAAAAUAUGUUUGAAGAAGCUUCUAGGAAGUAAACGUUUCCCUGAGGAACAAUAUGAUAUCUCAAGGAAAACCUGCCUUAAGAUUAUUGGAGGGACUGAAUAAACACAGCAAGGCUGCAGUUAGACACAAAGCUGCAUCUUAGUCUGAAAAUCCUGGAGGUCUCCAGAUAAAUACACCACCUUAACAAUCCUGGUUUUGAAGAACUAUUGUAUGCUAUGGAAUAACAAGCCUGCUUUGGUUAUCCUGUGCUUUCAUGCAGUAUGGAAGAUAUCACAAAUCAUCUGUCCAGAUGCAGAAGUCUGUAUUUAUAAACUUCUGAUAAUGUCGGUUCACAUGAGCUCAGGUUCUGAAUGUCUUAAACUCUCUUCAUAUCUGGCAAAGUCAACGCUGUGAUUCAUCAUUCCACCCUGAUUUAGUAAUCUAAAACAGAUCAAUUAAGCUUCAGGCAGUGAGAAAUGUUUAGAAAGGACAGUAGAAUCUGAAAGACAGAUAAAGUAUAUCCCAUCCUGUAUUCUAGUGCAAUAAAGAUGUUUUGUUACACUAUGAAAAUCCAAUAUUAAUUGCAAAAGGAAAGGAGUGCUUAUAAUAUACAUUACCUUAACUGGAAUAUGUUUGCUUUAUGCUGAAACUUAUUACUAUUUUUAUUUCUAGCAAUUUUUUUUUUUUUUGGCACUUAAGUAAACUUAGAAUGAAGAAAUUUUAAAGCAAUGGUUCCGACAGCCAAAAUGAAAGCAGAAAUAAAAGGUUUUGGAGAGAAUAUAGAGAGGACUAGCAAGUAUGAUUAAGGGGGACAGAGAAACUUAUUUAUGAAGAAAGAUUAAAGGAGUAAAAUAUGUGUAUGUACAUUGGAGAUUAACUAAGUGGCUCAUAAGAAGCAUAACUAUCUUCAAGUAUUUGAUGCAUGUAAACACCAAGAAUGGAGAGGAAAUGAUUAUUUGGAUGCACUUAAAUGGGGAAAGAUUCUGACUUUAAAGUCUGAUACUGUUUUGCUUCAAUGUUGCCAGGAAAGAUCUAUAUGCUGAAAGAGGACGACACUGGAAAGGGAAAAAUUUAUACACUGGAAGAAGCAUGAAGCCAAAAGGAUUUCAGAAAUUAUUCAAAAAACACUAUAAAUUUUAAUACCAAAUAAGAGUUAUGUAAACUUUUGAACCAGCCUAUAAAACUCAAUAGAACAGUAUGACAGCACUAAACGGGUAAUGGAUUCAAUUUCUUGUUAAAGUUUUCUUUUCCCACAAGAAAAUAAAAUGCACCAUUUUGAAAGAUCCUGGAAGAUGAAGUGAUCAGCUGGUUGACCUAAGAUGACAAACUAGUUCCUUUCCACGUAUGAUUUUGAUGCUCUGCAAAUAUCCUAGUAAAUGCUGGCCCCAGAAAGUGGUUCACUCAGUCUGUUACACACUUUGACAGGUUAUAUAGCAGUUAAUAAUUAAGUGAAAGGAAGUUCUGUAUAAAAAAAUCUGCCAUCAUAUACGAAAUAUGUAUGUUCCAACUCUCUAUGUAGAGUCCACUGGUGUGGCUAUAAGUGGUAUCUUUGCUGACCAAUAGCACUGCUGGCAAACUAUCAGGUAAUUGUAAGUAUGUAUUUACCAGAGAAAAAAAGACCGGUUUACGUGCUUCUGUUUGUGAGACACAGUUGUGGCUGUACUGCUCUGCUGUGCUGAGCCCAGAUCCUCUAUCUUGCUGUAGGAUAAGCCUGGUUCUACCUAUAUCUAGGCAGAAAUUUGUUUAAAAGAGUCACAUGAAGAAUCCAUGUUCUUUAGUCAUUUAUAUAGUUUGUCAGAACAAGAUUUAAAUAUUGUCAGUCAUCUUGAAUUAUAACUAGUUUACAGCUUGUGCUCUGAACCCAUCCAUCCUUUUGAUCUUUUUACCUUAAGAAUGCAACUAUGUGGGAAAUAACUUUAAAGUGAAUGAUACACAUCUGACAGACUUUAAGGAAAAAUAAGUAAGAAUUCAGAAACAUUCCAUGUAAAGAAAAAAAAAUGUACCUUUUUAGAAAUGAACUGUUGUGCUCAUUCAUUGCAGAAUUUAAGUAAGAGUAAUGUUUUACCUCCUUCUUAGCAGCAAAGAAGCAACAUCAGAUGAGGGAGACGUAUCUGCACAUUUUUACAUCUCACAAAUAAUCAGCAGGUUAGAGACAAUAAAACAACUUACCUAAAAUAGAAUACUGGAAGGUUUAAGGUGUCUAUGUUGAAACUGUUACUGCGUUCAGUGCCUGCCCAACCAGAGUGUCAUUUAAACAUAACUGUCUUCCAUGUUUGCUCUGAAUCUUUUUGAGAUCACACAGUAUUCUGUUUCUGACCAUUCGCAGAAGGGCUCAGGGUGAAGCGGGCAUGUACCUCUGUCUGACUUAAACAGUCUGGGAAUCCAGAAGAUAAAUGGUAGUGUUAGCUUAUAGCACAGACCUGGAAAGUGCACUCAGACAAACGUAGUAUAUGCCAAUAAAACUGGAAACCUUUCAGAAGGAGACAACUUUUUACAUCUGCUUUGACCUCAGGUAUUUUAAACUCUAAUUUCUGAGGAGGCACACCUUACCCACUGGGUCCCAGGCUAGUCUACAUAGCUGUACAGAUGUGCACUACAACUGCAAAACUCAUUAAGAUUCAAGGAGAUAAAUGAGGAAGGAAACAAUUUUUAUGGAGCAAGCAGGAUUCUGGCCUUUGUCUUUGCCCCACACAGUUUGUAUGUCUAUUUUUCAGUAAAUAGUAGAACUAAGAAUAAUCCUAUGUUCCAUUAUUAACAUCUCAUCUUCAACAGUGGUUAUGUUUUUUUAAAAAAACGGAGCCUUUGAAACAAAAAUUGAAUUACCUUGAUGGUCUGUGGACACUGAGUGGAUGGAAAUAACCACAGUCUUCCACUGUGACAGAGUGCCUCAACUACAUAGGUUGGCAUUAUCUGACUUUCAAAAUUAUGAGUUAGAUUCUAGAUAACUCCAUAAUGUUUCUACUUUGUUAGUCCUCUCACAUAACAUCAUCUGUUCUCUGUAGGUAACAGCUCUCUAAUCUUGGCUUUGGAUUCUACUUUGUGGGCUAGAUGUCUGAAACCAUUGUGAGGGUCUGUGAGCACCUCUACACCUUUCUGGAACAUCCUGUGGGGAACAAGAGUUCUAAUUGAAGCACUUAAGACGUGCUCAGCACUUUUGCUUUAACUACUUUUGUCAUUUGUCUUUCUGGCAUCUCUAGAGUUCAUUGAAAUUUCUCUUGUAAUUCCUGAAAGUUUAAUUUGGACCUCAGUCUCCCCAAGGAAAUAUUGCUAAAGGUCAGAAGUAGGCUUAAAUCAUAAAGUUUCCAGGAGAGGGAAUCUAGGAAUUUCUCUCAGUUCCAUCUUUAACACUGUAGUAGAAGCCAGUGACAACAGGGCUUUGUAUUCCAGAUAUCAGACUGAGAAUGUGGUCUUGGCAUGUUGAAUAAUGUAAUUUGUGUACAUAUAAGCAAAGAAAAUAUUGAUAGUGAAAUAAUUAUGAAUAUAUAAAUGUGAGACAGUAGGAAGCCAUGUUUAAAGGCAUUUUUCAGUUUAUAACCACACUUUUAAGAAUUUCCUGUCUUUUCUUUUAGCCAGACACAUGGGAUUAUUUUAGCGUACUUUUAUUUGUGUGUUGUUUCCUUUACAUUUUUGUUUGAGCAGAAGAGGAUGGGAAUAAAAAUGCAGUCUUCAACAAAGUUUUACAAAGUUUAUGAUUCUAGGCUGUAGUAAUUCCCCUAUGUACACUUAAAACAAUAAUAAAAAUGCAAGCACCAUAUUUUGAAAAGUUAUUAUGACUUAUUAUGUAAACAGAUGAUGAUAAAACAUUCUGAGUUAUUAUUCAAACACAAUACAUCAUAAUUGUUUCUUUGGAGACACUAUAUAUUUCUGUCAUGGGCUUUACUUACAGGAUUCUUUGUAAAACCUUCAUAAAGGUAAUUACUUUGUAUUCCCAUCAUCACAUUUCAAAAAUAGUGAUCUCAGCCUCUGAACAUGUAAACUCUGAAACAAAAGAAGAGUCCUAUUGUCUUCUUGUGUAAACAAAGCUUGUUUACAAGGUUGGGCCUUCCAACACUAAGCCUUACUCUCAAUACACAUGAUUAUACAGGUUUUCUAGAUAUAAAUGUGAACUCACAGAUGGUGGUUUCAGGCCACUUAAUCUUAAUAAGCUAGUUUAUUUGAUGAAAAACUUAGGAGCUGACUUUGUAUUUUUAACAUAUUUAUGGGAAAUGGAGAAUGAGUAUCUGAAGUUGAUAACUUCCCUUUGCAAAUUCUGGUUGAUACACAGGGCUUAACAAAUAUAGGUAGUAUCUUAUUCCACACUGAAUGGAAUAAAAAAUCACUUGUCUUUUGUUAAUAUAAAGUUCAUAAUUAAAUUAUUCUUGAAAUACUGUCAGACAUUUCAGCAAAAGAACAAAAAACAAAAGUUCUAUUUAGUGUGGAUUGGUGUUGUGAUAUACUUAAUAUCUACUUCAACAUUGAAUUAAAAGAUUCAGAAAUCUAUCAUAAUAUGCUUCAAAAAAAGAUCAAAGACAAUGAAUAAAGUUGGCAGAAUAUGUUUGCUUUUACAUGGAAAUUACUGAAAUAAAAGAUUAAAAUAUGUAUUGAUAUUUACUAGCACUAUUUUCCACUGAAGUAAAUGGGUAAACUCUUGGGCUUGAUAUUUCUAAGCCCUUGCUGGUUUGAUACUCCAUGUCUUCUUACUUGCAUUGAUACAAAUAUAGGAAGUACCUAUAGAUUGCAUAAAUGUUGAUCAUAAGUGUUGUUUCAGGAUGAAAUGUAUUGUCUGUUUCUGUGAAGCUAAUGGCUUUUUGGUCACACAGCUUAAAGUGAUGUGAAGAUUGUCAUGUUUGUCAUGAAGAUUGUCAAGUUUGUCAUUACUUCUGAACUCCCAAAAUAAAUUGAAAUAAAUAAAGGUUUUUCUUCUAAAUCAGAGGAUGGUUCUUACUUAUUUAGUAUGAUGAUCUGUAAAAUGUCAUCAAAUGCACUGUAAAGAGAGGGAAUUGAUGGCAAAUCCUUACUAAGAUGUUGCAAAGUAAGUAGGAGGGAAGGAUCCUUGUGUUUAGAAGGACAGUUUUUUAUUUACACGCACACGUAUAUGUUUUGAGGUUACUAAAGAACACCCAGCUAUAUCUUCAACUUCAGUUAGCAGGAGUUUCUAUUACAUUUUAACACAGGAUGGGUGAGAAAAUGUUUCAUUUUAUACGCAUGUGUAUACACACAGACAUUCCAAAAGACACAAACCAUUUCAGAAAUGACAGUUUCCUCGCUGUCCAAUUAGGUGAAUUGAAUGUGAUUAUGUUGUAGUUCUCAGGGCUCUAAUUGCACAUAAAAACUUCCAAAUCACAACACGUGGUAUUUCCAUCCAAAACAAAGGGAGAAUUAUUAAAAUGUGGUGGGAUUUCAUGUAACACUGGCAGACAGCUUAGAUGGCAAUAAUUUAACACUUGCACCAUGAAAUUAAAAUUUACGUUCACUCUGUGCAAUUCUUCAGACCAGCAGCAGACAGUUGUAUUUUUUUUAAUGAGAGCAGGGAGAUUUAAUUACUUGAAUUUAACUAGAAAAACCUUUCCAUUGCUUGAUGACAGAGGCAAUAAUAUUGGCACAGAUUUGCAGAUGCUUUUUGAGCCUGCUUUCCAUAUUCUCCAUAGCUCUGCUUUGCAGCAUCCAUGUUUCUGAAGGCCAUGAACAACCACAUAGAUUCUUCCACAGAUUCGGAGCAAUGCAUGCAAAUUCCAGCUGCCCAUAAAUCAUUGUCUGAAAACAAUGAUCUCAUCAAGUAAUAGUCCUCCGUUGAUUCAAGGAAAAUUCUGUUGCAAUUGUGUCCUGCAGAAGUGGUAAGGGAGACAGUCCAGAAAAAUUCAGAUCCAGGAGUGAAGAUCACCACCAAAAAGAACCCUCUAGGUAUUCCUUCAGACAUGACUAUCUGCAGUAUUGCUUCAUAGUUUUCAAGUUUUACCUUAUUUACAUUACCAUUUGCAAUGGAUUUUUUUUUCUUUUUUAGCAUUACUUUUUGCUCAAACUCCUCCUUCAUGACCCCUUUUCUCUCCUACAUGUUACUUGAUUUUAUAUGGCUCUUACACAGCUGUAACAAAAGAGAGUUGAUAUUUAAAUACUUUUGGAAAGCAUGUCAUUUUCCUAUCCAUCUGCUACUUCCCAGUGGGCCUGCUAAGCUGCCUUCCUGACUUACAGAGGCUAGUGUUAGACCUCUGGAAGAAUCAGCUUCCAACAGCAUGGUUUCCUAUGGAAACCUGACUUCCCAAAGGAAAUGAGGAGAGCACAGAUGAGGUGGAAAAACUACCUUAUUUUCUGCUGGAGUGGCUCAGAGUAGUGAAAAGCCUUGCUGGUAAGGCACUUUGUAAGCUCAGAACUGCCAUAUUGCUGACUGUUCCCGAUUGCAUUCUAUAGCUGGAAACCUAUUCUGCUCUCCAAAUGCAUCUGCAGGAGCAGCCUGCUCUGAGAAAACACAUAGAAUCAUAGAAUCCUUAGAGUUUGAUGGGACCUUUAAAGGCCAGCUAGUCCAACUCCCCUGCAAUAAAGAGGGACAUAUACAACUAUAUCAGGGUGCUCAGGGCCUGGUCCAGCCUAACCUUGAAUGUCUCCAGGAACAGGGCAUCCACCACCUCUCUGGGCAAGCUGUUUCAGUGCUUCACUGUCCUUACUACAGCAAACUUCUAGCUAUUCUAUAAAACUUAUAUUUAGUCUUAUAUCCUGCCUUAAUCUCCCCUCUUUCAGUUUGAAACCAUUUCCCCUUGUCCUGUCAUAGCAGACCCUGCAAAAGAGUCUCUCCCCUUCUUACAGCCUCUCUUUACUGAAAGGCUGUUCUCACAUUGCUCCAGAGACUUUUCCAGGCUGAACAGCCCCAGCUCUCUUAGCAUGUCCUCAUAAGGGAGGUGUUCCAUCCUUUGAAUCAUUUCUGUGGCAUUCCCCUGGAUGUACUUCGACAGGUCUGGAGCAUAUGUGUACCUGGUAACAAUGCAGCAGCCUGUUUUUGGAUGGAUCUUGUGUACUUGUGAAGACAGCUAGAGCAGAGCUUUGUUGCUGAUUCAGCCCCUGAAGUGACAAAAUAGAAUCUCCACAGCAGGUCCCUGCCUGUCACCUCAUUCUCCCACCCAAUUGGGACUGCUAGUGGGUACUGAAAUUUUCGUCUGCUGUUUCUGGAACAGAAACUGGCUUUUAGGCUGGUGUUUAAUGACAAUAAGUCUUUGCUCCAGCUUCUUCAGUCUGUUCUUUAACUUGUCUUGGGGAAUAAAGUCAUAUUUCCAAAGGAGAUUUGCUUUGCAGACUUAUAGCCAGAAAUUAGUCAGGGAUCAAAGACCUUUAGAGCAUAAGGGAAC
rnacentral:lncRNA from 1 species